AUUGAACGCUGGCGGCAUGCUUUACACAUGCAAGUCGAACGGUAACAGGCCGCAAGGUGCUGACGAGUGGCGAACGGGUGAGUACUGCAUCGGAACGUGCCCAGUCGUGGGGGAUAACUACUCGAAAGAGUAGCUAAUACCGCAUACGAUCUAUGGAUGAAAGCGGGGGACCGUAAGGCCUCGCGCGAUUGGAGCGGCCGAUGUCAGAUUAGGUAGUUGGUGGGGUAAAGGCUCACCAAGCCAACGAUCUGUAGCUGGUCUGAGAGGACGACCAGCCACACUGGGACUGAGACACGGCCCAGACUCCUACGGGAGGCAGCAGUGGGGAAUUUUGGACAAUGGGCGCAAGCCUGAUCCAGCAAUGCCACGUGCAGGAAGAAGGCCUUCGGGUUGUAAACUGCUUUUGUACGGAACGAAACGGCUCUGGUUAAUACCCGGGGCUAAUGACGGUACCGUAAGAAUAAGCACCGGCUAACUACGUG
rnacentral:rRNA from 1 species